GACGAACGCUGGCGGCGUGCUUAACACAUGCAAGUCGAACGGAAAGGCCCUGCUUGCCGGGUACUCGAGUGGCGAACGGGUGAGUAACACGUGGGUGAUCUGCCCUGCACUUCGGGAUAAGCCUGGGAAACUGGGUCUAAUACCGGAUAGGAGCCAUUUUUAGUGUGAUGGUUGGAAAGUUUUUUCGGUGUAGGAUGAGCUGGCGGCCUAUCAGCUUGUUGGUGGGGUAAUGGCCUACCAAGGCGGCGACGGGUAGCCGGCCUGAGAGGGUGGACGGCCACAUUGGGACUGAGAUACGGCCCAGCCUCCUACGGGAGGCAGCAGUGGGGAAUAUUGCACAAUGGCGCAAGCCUGAUGCAGCGACGCCGCGUGGGGGAUGACGGCCUUCGGGUUGUAAACUCCUUUCGCUAGGGACGAAGCUUUUUGUGACGGUACCUAGAUAAGAAGCACCGGCUAACUACGUG
rnacentral:rRNA from 1 species